GUCAAAACUUUGUUAUUGUUUUUAACUAACCUUAAAAUAGUUUUGUCAGAUAUUUUGUUUCCGUAUUCCUAAAAUUAGUUAAAACUGUACUAUUAUUUAAUUGUACUAGAUAUUUUACUUACUACUCAAUAAUUAGCUUUGUGGCACUUAUUGAAGUGGUGAAAAUUAGCUGUGCUAUAUUCUAUGGUAGGCUAAGUAAAAUAAAAAUGAGUUUAGUAGACACAGUCCAAAAUUCUUUAAGGGGUGAAAAUUCUGGUAAAAUUAAGAAUUUUGCCAUUAAUAUUGAAGAUGUGUCCAUAGAAUUCGUUAUUUUAUAUUUUCAAAACAGUACAAUAUAUAUAAUUACACAGUUUAACAAAAUUGGUAAUCUGUAUUUAGUACAAGCUGAACAAAUUCAAAAUAACAUCAUUGAUGUAGAACCUGUAUAUAAUAUACGAAAUAUAUUGGGACAGGAUAAUAUUGAUGCUGAAGUAGCUGUCCGAUAUAUUUCUGAGAAACUGAAGAUACAGAAAUCCAUUCUAAUCAGCCUUAGUUUGAAGAAGUAUGAUUUAGAAAUGUUAAAAUUGAUUGUUGAAGUCCUAUCCACACAUACAUAAAAUAUGAGUUUCUCUUGAUUUUUAAUGGUUUAUAAAAGUUGAUCGACACAAAUGCAGCUAAAUUGAGGAUUAGGACUAUGGUUGAUCACUGAGGAGGAGGGGAAUAUGGUACCUAUUUUAAGUUAUAUUUGUUGUGACUAGAAAUUCUCCGAUUAUAAAAUAUUUUCUAUGGAUUUUGUUAGAUAUUUAAAUUAACUGUUAAAUUAAUUCUUUGCAAAAUUUACUGACAUAACAAUGCAAAUUGAUUGCCUAACCAAAUCAUUUUAAAUUUAAAGUAUAUUUUUAUACAUAAAAUAUACCUUGUCAAAUUAAUGGACAAAUUUAAAAUAAUAUUUUGAAUUUUUUUCCAAAGAAAUUGAUACUGUCAUGAUUUUACAUGUUUAGAUAUUAGAUUGUUAAACCUUUUUUAAUUUUUGAUGAAUUUUGUGCCUUCAAAUUGUUAUUAAUAGAAAAAAUUGUGAUAUAAUACACUCAUAUAAAAAGCAUGCUUAAAAUAUCUAGGCAAAGAUGUUGCCAUAGUUGUAGUAUAGUAAUGAGUAACUUUAUCAACUUUUUGAACAUUUGAUUACCAGAUUUCAAGAUUUCAGAUUACAAGCAAGUCAAUCUUGACUUUUAAUCUUUUUACUUUAUUAAUUAAAUUGUUGUUAAAAUAAUGUUUUAUAAUAAGUAAUAAAAGUUGUAUCCUUU